rnacentral:rRNA from 1 species
ACGAACGCUGGCGGCGUGCCUAAUACAUGCAAGUCGAGCGGAAUGAAGAAGAAGCUUGCUUCUUCUGAUUUUAGCGGCGGACGGGUGAGUAACACGUGGGCAACCUACCUUGUAGAUUGGGAUAACUCCGGGAAACCGGGGCUAAUACCGAAUAAUCCAUUUUGCUUCAUGGCGAGAUGUUAAAAGGCGGCUUCGGCUGUCACUACGAGAUGGGCCCGCGGCGCAUUAGCUAGUUGGUAGGGUAAUGGCCUACCAAGGCGACGAUGCGUAGCCGACCUGAGAGGGUGAUCGGCCACACUGGGACUGAGACACGGCCCAGACUCCUACGGGAGGCAGCAGUAGGGAAUCUUCCACAAUGGACGAAAGUCUGAUGGAGCAACGCCGCGUGAGUGAAGAAGGUUUUCGGAUCGUAAAACUCUGUUGUAAGGGAAGAACACGUACGAGAGUAACUGCUCGUACCUUGACGAUACCUUAUUAGAAAGCCACGGCUAACUACGUG